rnacentral:rRNA from 1 species
AUUGAACGCUGGCGGCAGGCCUAACACAUGCAAGUCGAGCGAGCGGCGGACGGGAGAGUAAUGUAUGGGAAUAUGCCAGAUAGAGGGGGAUAACUACUGGAAAAGGUGGCUAAUACCGCAUACUAUAGGAUGAACCAAUAUGGGAUUAGCUAGUAGGUGGGGUAAAGGAACACCAAGGCGACGAUCUCUAGCUGGUCUGAGAGGAUGAUCAGCCACACUGGGACUGAGACACGGCCCAGACUCCUACGGUAGUCAGCAGUGGUGAAUAUUGCACAAUGGGCGCAAGCCUGCUGCAGCCAUGCCGCGUGUAUGAAGAAGGCCUUCGGGUUGUAAAGUACUUUCAUCGGGGAGGCGUUACCCGCAGAAGAAGCACCGGCUAACUCCGUGCCAGCAGCCGCGGUAAUAC